rnacentral:tRNA from 1 species
GCCCCUGUGGUGUAGUCCGGCCAAUCAUCCAGCCUUUUCGAGGCUGGGACCUGGGUUCGAAUCAACGGGUUACGCUCGGUUGACACGCAACGUGGAACAUAAAGUUCCACGUGCUCACUAAUCGUUCGCAAUCAGUUACGAAAGUCCCGGCGGGGGCA